GACGAACGCUGGCGGCGUGCCUAAUACAUGCAAGUCGAGCGAACAGACGAGGUGCUUGCUCCUACUAGGUGAGCGGCGGACGGGUGAGUAACACGUGGAUAAUCUACCUUUAAGACUGGGAUAACAUCGGGAAACCGGAGCUAAUACCGGAUAAUAUAUUUAACCACAAGGUUCAAGAGUGAAAGACGGUUUUGCUGUCACUAAUGGAUGUCCCCGCGUCGCAUUACCUAUUUGGUAGGGUAACGGCAUACCAAGGCAGCGAUGCGUACCCAGCCUGAGAGGGUGAUGGGCCACUCGGAAGCUGAGACGCGACCAAGCCCCCUACGGGAGGCAGGAAUAGGGACUCUGCCGCAGGGGGCAAAAGCCUGAGGGAGCAACGGCGCGUGAGUGAUGAAGGUCUUCGGCUCGUAAAACUCUGUUAUGAGAGGAGCGCAAAUGUGUAAGUAAAGAUGAACGACUUACCGGAACCUAAUAAGAAGGCCCCGGCUACCUACGU
rnacentral:rRNA from 1 species